AUAAAAGCAGGGUCUUGUUGCCCAGUGAAUGGGCCUCUCGUAAACUUCAGGGAAAUUAUUUACAUUGUUAUUGGGUGAACCUCUGUUUGUAUCCUUCAUGACAGAAGGUUCAGUAAAUGAUGUUACAUUA
rnacentral:snoRNA from 1 species